GCAACUGUAUCAAGUUUGCAAUCUUUAGACGAGGAAGCUAGCAAUUCGACAUUGUAUUUUAACCCCAACUGUAUUUUACAACUAAUCCUGGAUUACAUUUGCACAGAAGCACAUUUAAAUGUGGACGGUAAUCAUUACGACAUGUGUAAUGGAGAUGGUGAUCUUUUGGGUAUAAAGGAUUACAAACCGAAUGCUAGUGGUUUGACUAUUUUUCAGAGAAGAGAGACUUAUUUUAUUGUGAUUCUUAAGAGAAAUGAGAGUGGGACCGCUAUUGAAGAAAUAACACCGCUUCUACAUCCUCAAAGUGCUGCUUAUCAAAAUCUAGUCAAAAAUAUGAAUAAGAAGUUGAACAAAAAGAGGAGUUCCUUGACAAAGAGACGCACCAGUAGCAGCAAGCACAGUAUAACAUCCCCCCAUAGCUCAAACCCGAGCACCAUAAACAACUCAAAAAGACGCUUCAGUGCAAAAAUUUAAAAAAUUUGUUUAUUAAUUAAAUUGACUACAAGACACAUUCACAAUUUGCUCUUAGUUUCAAAUUCUCUUUCCCAAUCCUUCAAUUCUGGCACUUUCAAAUUGGUUGAUUUUCCAUGUCUUCCAAACCCCUCAGCGAAUCUUUUAGCCCCCGCGAUUGACUCAGUCCGCACCACUUUAACUCCAUUCUCUUGCUCGUAUUUCAAAAGAUCUAAAUACGCUGAACUAAAAGCCGCAUUAUACGUUGAAUUCCGAUCAGUCAGCAGACACUCUUGAGGAAAUUUGACUAGAGAAUUUGCGAGUUGGAUUGCUUGACCCAGGGCUAGCACAAAGAUAUUUUUUUAAUUGAAAUAAACUUCUGAUCAAUUUAAAAUUAAGUUGGUAACAUGAACAGUCAAAGUCAAAUGUUAUCAAUAAUUCGGCGUUACCAACUUAAUUCAGAUUUAAAAUCAGAAAUUUAUUUAAAAGCAAGGUACCUGUGCCACAUGCCACAAUCCUAUUGGCUACCCCCCACUCAAACGCUUCUUUGGCACUGAGCGAACGCCCCGUGAGGAUUAAAUCUAGCGCUCUUGAUAACCCCACCAUCGCUUGAAGCCGCACUGUGCCCCCAUCGACUAAAGGGACCCCAAAGCGUCUACAAUACACCCCCAUAACUGCAGUGUCCUCCAUAACGCGCAAAUCGCACAUCAGAGCCAACUCCAAGCCGCCCGCGACAGCAUACCCACUUAUGGCAGCCACCAUUGGUUUUUUAAUAAAACGUAACGUGGGGCCCUGAACGAAAAAGAUGAAAAAAAUUGUCUACAAUUAAUGAAUGUGUUUACUAUUUGGCCUUCGGGAUUCAACGCAAUCUGAGUCUCGUCCACCUUUGACAGGGAUUUAAGAUCGUAACCGGCACAGAAGUUGCCCCCAGUCCCGUACAAAACAGCAGCUUUGAGUGUGUUAUCAUUUUCGAAGUCUUCAAUAGCCUCACGGAGCAGAUCCGCAGUGCUGGGGUCAAUGCAGUUGCGUUUUUCAGGUCGGUUUAGACCAAUGGUAACGAUUUCGCCAAUUUUUUCGGUUAAAACCGCUAGGUUCAGAAGUUAGGUUCUGAUCACUAAUUAUAAAUGGACUCACUUUUAGGGCUAUUGCUGUAAUGUCGUAUUACAACUGAUGGAAUUCUUGUUACCAUAGUUCUGUACUUUCACUGGUUUGGGGUACUUUAACUAUAAAAAACGAACGGCCUUGAAACCGGAUUACAUAACCUCAAUUUUAAGUUAACUCUUUUGGGGCUAUUGAGGUAAUGCCGCAUUAUAAUUGAUGGUAUCCUUGUUGCCAUCACUAAUCGAUUACUUGGAGCGUACUUUAGCCAAAAUUUAUCAACGGAGUUGAUACCGCAUUAGAUAACCUCAACCAUUUGAAAAAAAAAGCACAUUGACGAAAUAGUUUUUUAUUAAUAAAAAAACAUCAGAUUACAAAAAAUAACUUAUUUAUCUUCCUUAAGAACGUGUUUCUUUCGUUCUGGCUCAUAAGGCACCUCCCCAGGCUUCGAAUGAGCCCUCCUAUUAGCUUCCUUCCUCUUGCCCUUCUCUUUAAUUGUUCUUAGUUCAUUUUGCGCGUUAUAUAUAUGUUUGGGCACAUGUCUGUGUCGCGCUAUUCUUCGCACUUUAGGAUGUGUGGCGUAUUUUUCUUUAAGAGCUUCACUGUAGUUCAAAGCAGCCCUUUCUCUAGGUUUAAGCUACAAAAAUUUUAUUAGGGACUAAAAUUAAUUAUGAGUUGACAUACAGGUCCUAGCUUUUCAGACGCUCUUGCUUUCCAAAUUCUAAUGUUCAUUUCGU